rnacentral:rRNA from 1 species
AUUGAACGCUGGCGGCAGGCCUAACACAUGCAAGUCGGACGAGUGGCGGACGGGUGAGUAAUGUCUGGGAAACUGCCUUAUGGAGGGGGAUAACUACUGGAAACAGUAGCUAAUACCGCAUACCAUCGGAUGUUCCCAGAUGGGAUUAGCUAGUAGGUGGGGUAAAGGCUCACCUAGGCGACGAUCCCUAGCUGGUCUGAGAGGAGGACCAGCCACACUUGAACUGGGAAACGGUCCAGAUGCCUACGGGAGGCAGCAGUUGGGAAUAUUGCACAAUGGGCGCAAUCCUGAUACAGCCAUGCCGCUUGUAUGAAGAAGGCCUGCGGGUUGUAAAGUACUUUCAGCGGGGAGGCGUUACCCGCAGAAGAAGCACCGGCUAACUCCGUGCCAGCAGCCGCGGUAAUAC